rnacentral:lncRNA from 1 species
GUUGUGGAUGGAGAAACUGACUUCAGAAAAUGGAGUGUUAAUGGAAAAGUCUGGGUCAGUUUUCAUCAGUCAAGCCUGCAUCUCCCUUCUAUAGAGACAACAGGUUCUCACUGUGUGGCCCUGGCUGGCCUAGAACUCAUAAUCUAGACCAGGCUGGCCUCAAACUCAGAGACCCUCCAACCUUUGCUUCUGGAGUGCCAAGAUUAAAAAUAUGCACUGCCACACCUGGCUUUUGUGUUUCUGAUUUUGAGACAAAAAUCUCUCCUUGUGUGACCCAGGCUGGCCUUAGACUUAGGAUUUUCUUGCCUCAGCCUUCAGAGAACUGGUUUUCAGGUGCGCACCACCAUACUCAGACAGUAGGGUUUUUGGCUUGGUUGGUUGGGGUUUGUUGUGUUUUGGGACAUGGGGUCUUGAGCACUUAGGCUCAGGCACUGUUCCUGCCUUGACUGUUGGCUUCGAUGACAGGUGCUCAUGUGUGCCUAGCUAAGUAUUUUCAGCUCUGUAACAGCCUUUCACGACAUGUGUAUAUAUCCAGGGGAGGGAUGUCUUCCUUUCACUUUUGGGCUUAAUUUUUUGGAGCCUUAAUGAAGGGUACUCAUAUUCCAUUGGACCAGGAAUAGCAGUGUUUGGAUAGGUAAGAAGUGUUAGGUGAAAUCCAGGUGUGGUAGCUCAUGUCUGUAAUCCUGGCAUUUAUUGAGGCUUG